GGCGCGACCCGCCCCUUUUCUCACCCCGCCUCCUCCUCAGCCCCACCCUCCUUCGCUCCUCCUCUUGUCACUCCCUUUCAGACAUGCGCAGUGCGGCCCGUCCCUAGGAGUGGGUUAAGGGACGCGGAUGUGGCCGUUCUCAGGCCUCUUGGGAUCGCCUCAAGAAGCCCCCUCAAGAGUGUCUCGAUUUCCUGCCAGCCAACAAGGGCCGUUCGCCUCUCAUGGCCUCCACAGCAGGGUUGCCGUGGCUGUCACAAAUCCUCUGCAUCCCAGGAGCGCCGCUUGGACCCCCGGGCUCACUGCGUGGCCCGUAUCUAGGCCGGGCCUCUCACGGAGACUUUCCCGCCAGUGUAAUAAAGAGGAGAAAACGUCACAGCGGAAGGGCCUGACCCUAAGGAAACAGCUACGGGGAUGGGACCCUGUAAGCUGCUGUGGGAGCCUCAUCCACCACUUCUCUGACCCCACCCAGGCUGCUUCCCAGGCGUUAGGGUCCUAGUGUGGACCUCCUGGCCAUGAUUAAUGCAGUUUUUCAGAUUAAGUACUGCAGGACUACUUACUUCUGAAACUCAUAGACACUGCCUCAGCUCUGUGCAGGGCAGAUGCACAAGAGCUGAAUCUCCGUGGGACAGCUCUCUGGAGCAUCAAUAUUACUGCAGUAUUUGGAAGAAACAAAUUUAAAUAAGUUCUAAUGUAAAGAAUGGAACAUUUAAGACAAGUCUGGAAAGUCAUCUGCCUUUAGUAACUGUCGUCUGUCCCUCACAUGUCAGACUUUCUCCAAGACAAAAACUCUAAGAACUUAUUUCCAUUCUUAUA
rnacentral:sRNA from 1 species